UGGGGAAUAUUGGACAAUGGGGGCAACCCUGAUCCAGCCAUGCCGCGUGCGUGAAGAAGGCCUUAGGGUUGUAAAGCGCUUUCAGCGGGGAAGAUAAUGACGGUACCCGCAGAAGAAGCCCCGGCUAACUCCGUGCCAGCAGCCGCGGUAAGACGGAGGGGGCAAGCGUUGUCCGGACUCACUGGGCGUAAAGGGCGCGCAGGCGGGACGGCGCGUCGGCGCUGAAAGCGCCCGGCUUAACCGGGCGCGGCGCGGCGAUACGACCGACCUGGAGGCAGGCAGAGGGUGGCGGAAUUCCGGGUGUAGUGGUGAAAUGCGUAGAGAUCCGGAGGAACGCCUGUGGCGCAAGCGGCCGCCUGGGCCUGACCUGACGCUGAGGCGCGAAAGCGUGGGGAGCGAACCGGAUUAGAUACCCCCGUAGUCC
rnacentral:rRNA from 1 species